GAGCGGCGGACGGGUGAGUAACGGCUGGGAACCUGCCCUGACGAGGGGGAUAACCGUUGGAAACGACGGCUAAUACCGCAUAAUGUCUACGGACCAAAGGUGGCCUCUACAUGUAAGCUAUCGCGUUGGGAUGGGCCCAGUUAGGAUUAGCUAGUUGGUAAGGUAAUGGCUUACCAAGGCAACGAUCCUUAGCUGGUUUGAGAGGAUGAUCAGCCACACUGGGACUGAGACACGGCCCAGACUCCUACGGGAGGCAGCAGUGGGGAAUAUUGCACAAUGGGGGAGACCCUGAUGCAGCCAUGCCGCGUGUGUGAAGAAGGCCUUCGGGUUGUAAAGCACUUUCAGCAGUGAGGAAGGUCGUGUACUUAAUACGUGCACGGCUUGACGUUAGCUGCAGAAGAAGCACCGGCUAACUCCGUGCCAGCAGCCGCGGUAAUACGGAGGGUGCGAGCGUUAAUCGGAAUUACUGGGCGUAAAGCGCAUGCAGGCGGUUUGUUAAGUCAGAUGUGAAAGCCCGGGGCUCAACCUCGGAACCGCAUUUGAAACUGGCAGGCUAGAGUCUUGUAGAGGGGGGUAGAAUUUCAGGUGUAGCGGUGAAAUGCGUAGAGAUCUGAAGGAAUACCAGUGGCGAAGGCGGCCCCCUGGACAAAGACUGACGCUCAGAUGCGAAAGCGUGGGUAGCAAACAGGAUUAGAUACCCUGGUAGUCCACGCCGUAAACGCUGUCUACUUGGAGGUUGAGGUUUUAGACUUUGGCUUUCGGCGCUAACGCAUUAAGUAGACCGCCUGGGGAGUACGGCCGCAAGGUUAAAACUCAAAUGAAUUGACGGGGGCCCGCACAAGCGGUGGAGCAUGUGGUUUAAUUCGAUGCAACGCGAAGAACCUUACCUACUCUUGACAUCCAGCGAAGCCUUUAGAGAUAGAGGYGUGCCUUCGGGAGCGCUGAGACAGGUGCUGCAUGGCUGUCGUCAGCUCGUGUUGUGAAAUGUUGGGUUAAGUCCCGCAACGAGCGCAACCCUUAUCCUUGUUUGCCAGCACRUAAUGGUGGGAACUCCAGGGAGACUGCCGGUGAUAAACCGGAGGAAGGUGGGGACGACGUCAAGUCAUCAUGGCCCUUACGAGUAGGGCUACACACGUGCUACAAUGGCAGAUACAGAGGGCAGCGAGACAGCGAUGUUUAGCGAAUCCCUUAAAGUUUGUCGUAGUCCGGAUUGGAGUCUGCAACUCGACUCCAUGAAGUCGGAAUCGCUAGUAAUCGUGGAUCAGAAUGCCACGGUGAAUACGUUCCCGGGCCUUGUACACACCGCCCGUCACACCAUGGGAGUGGGCUGCACCAGAAGUAGAUAGCUUAACCUUCGGGAGGGCGUUUACCACGGUGUGGUUCAUGACUGGGGUGAAGUCGUAACAAGGUAGCCCUAGGGGAACCUGCGGCUGGUCCACCUCCUUA
rnacentral:rRNA from 1 species